GCCUCCUAAAAUAACGCCUUUUAUUAAGGCUCUAAUCUAUGUUAAAUGAAUUGUAUCCUAAAAUAACUCCUGUAUUUAUGGCUCCUAAUUAAUCUUUGAUUUUGUACCAAAUAAAUGCUAAAUCAUUUAAGGUAAAAUUUUAAAUGCUCUUAAUAUUUAUUUUGCACAUAUGUGCUGCCAUUGCAAUUGUUAGACAGAUGCUCCAGCACCAGCACAACAAAUGGUAAACCAAACGUGGAGAAUAUCUCUACUAUAUAGAAUUCAAUAAUGUAUUAAUGUUUCUAGGCUUGGGAACUGAUAAGAUGUUCUUGUUGGUGAACAACUUGCUGGAGACAUAUCAAUCACCUGGAUGCAAACUCGGGAUACCACAACAAAUAAUUCAUACCUUAUUCAUAGUUUUAUUGCUACUUGUAAUGGAAUAAUGGUUUCUUGGUGCAGAUUAUGUAUAUGAACAUUCUUCUUGUCCUUAAAUGCAUAUUAGGUUGAUAAUAAAGUAUCGUGAUUCACUUUGUCCUUGGUCCCAUCUCAAGGGUUAGUGAAAAGGUGGAAAACACAAUGAAAAUUAAUGGAGAAUGUAGAUGUUGAGGGAAUCUUUAUGUAAUUCUUGCAUUGGAGAAUGUAUUUGAACUCUUGCUAUAGGCCGUAACGCUUGUUUUCUGGAAACAUUGCAUAUAACCUUAACUACAUUUACCUAUAUUUUAAAAAUUCACUGGAAACACUUCAUAUAACCUUAACUACAUUUAACUACAUUUCACUACAUUUCACUACAUUAUAAAAACUCACUGGAAAGACUGCAUAUUAUCUUAACUACAUUUACCUACAUUUGACUACAUUUUAAAAAUUCACUGGAAACAAUUCAUAUAACCUUAACUACAUUUAACUACAUUUGACUACAUUAUAAAAACUCA
rnacentral:lncRNA from 1 species